UACGUAGGGUGCGAGCGUUUGUCCGGAAUUAUUGGGCGUAAAGAGCUCGUAGGCGGCUUGUCGCGUCGGGUGUGAAAUUUCGGAGCUUAACUCCGAAACUGCAUUCGAUACUGCGGUGCUUGAGGACUGGAGAGGAGACUGGAAUUCAUGGUGUAGCGGUGAAAUGCGCAGAUAUCAGGAGGAACACCGGUGGCGAAGGCGGGUCUCUGGGCCGAUACUGACGCUGAGGAGCGAAAGCGUGGGGAGCGAACAGG
rnacentral:rRNA from 1 species